CUUAUAACUGUGCUUCUAGAUAGCCUGCCACCGGCCGAUUUCAGGCGAAAUAGCCUUAGUGUCUGGCAACUUACAGGUUGCCCUGACUCCUCUUCCAACGGAGUCCUUUAAGCAAGUAUUUUAUUUUGCUCGUAUGUAUGCAUGUCCUAUUAACGCUCCAUGUCCACUCACUCUGCACUUACAACACAUAGGACAAUGGAAAGCGUGUAAUUUAGCAACUUACUUACAAGCGGAGUCAUAAGUCUGUCACCAAACAUGUUUCACUUAAAUUUUCACACUAAGCACAAUGUUAAGCUGUAUUGAUGUUACUAACAAGACUAUACUGAAGCUUAGUUGACUUUGCAAAAAAGUUCCUCUUGACUUGUUAAGCUAAAAAUGUGCGCUAAUAUGCUAAUAUGCCUCAUUUGUCAAACCUGUUAUUCAUUCAUUUCUUGCUAUAGCUGGCGAGGCAUAGCGAGAAUGCUUGUUACCCUCAUGCGCUUUAAAAAUAAAGAAUUUGUAAAAAAAACACACACACACUGGCACUAGCAGGGGACAGGGAGUGGCUAAAGAGGGAUGUGGCUGG